rnacentral:misc_RNA from 1 species
UCCCGGUUGGCCCGGGCAGUCUCGUGUGAAAAAUACAACACACGAUAAGGGUUGCGCUCGUUGCGGGACUUAACCCAACAUCUCACGACACGAGCUGACGACGGCCAUGCAAUACCUGUCACUGGGUUCCCGAAGGCACAUCACUGUUUCCAGCGACUUCCCAGGAUGUCAAGUCUAGGUAAGGUUCUUCGCGUAGCAUCGAAUUAAACCACAUGCUCCACUGCUUGUGCCGAGCCCCGUCAAUUCCUUUGAGUUUUAAUCUUGCGAUCGUACUCCCCAGGCGGCACACUUAACGCGUUAGCUUCCCAGCACAGAGGGUCGAUACUCCAUACUAGUAGUGUGCAUCGUUUACGGCGUGGACUAC